CUCAGCCUGGCGGUAUUGAACCUGUUGCUGCAUUAGCCGAGUUGUAUUUUGCUAGAUAGGGGAAGGAGGGUUGUCUGCUGUCUGGUAGGAGGGCUUUGUCUGUGUGCGCCUUUCUCUCUCUCCCUCUCUCGCUCUCCCUGUCUCUCGCACUCUCGCUCGCUCUCGCUCGCUCUCUCUCGCUCGCUCUCCCUUUCCCGUCUCUGUGGUUUGUAAGCAGCAUAAGAAAGAAGUGUUGAGAGCUGCUCUUAACCCUUUUGGAGGCCAAAGUCAAAAGGGAACUAGAGGGCUUGACGCAUCCUUUACAUCCUGCAUUUACUCUGACCACAGUCCCUCCCUGUUCUCACGAGCGGAGCUCAGCCCUGCUUCCCUUCCUGUUGAUUCCCAGUCAGCUACAUGA
ensembl:lncRNA